UACAGAGGUCUCGAGCGUUGUUCGGAUUCAUUGGGCGUAAAGGGUGCGUAGGUGGCGUGGUAAGUCUGGGGGGAAAUCCCGGGGCUCAACCCCGGAACUGCACUGGAUACUGCCAUGCUUGAGUACUGGAGAGGAGAUUGGAAUUUACGGUGUAGCAGUGAAAUGCGUAGAUAUCGUAAGGAAGACCAGUGGCGAAGGCGAAUCUCUGGACAGUUACUGACACUGAGGCACGAAGGCUAGGGGAGCAAACGGG
rnacentral:rRNA from 1 species